UUGGUCAUUUAGAGGAAGUAAAAGUCGUAACAAGGUUUCCGUAGGUGAACCUGCGGAAGGAUCAUUACUGAGUUAGGGUCUUCUAGGCCCGACCUCCAACCCUUUGCCUACCUUACCUCUUGUUGCUUCGGCUGGCCCGUCCCCCCUAGAAAUAGGGGUCGACCGCCGGAGGGUUUACACCCUCUGGCCCGCGCCCGCCGAUGGCCCUCAACCAAAACUCUUGUUCAAUCGUGAAUUGUCUGAGUACAAAAAACAAAAUAAACCAAAAACUUUCAACAACGGAUCUCUUGGUUCUGGCAUCGAUGAAGAACGCAGCGAAAUGCGAUAAGUAAUGCGAAUUGCAGAAUCCGUGAGUCAUCGAAUCUUUGAACGCACAUUGCGCCCCUUGGUUAUUCCGAAGGGCAUGCCUGUUCGAGCGUCAUUAUCACCCCUCAAGCCCCGGCUUGGUGUUGGACUUAGUUAUAGCUUUGCCUAUCAACUGGUCUCAAAGAUAGUGACGGCGCCCCAGAGGGAACCGGGUACGAGGAGCUUUUUGUUAAGCAUGUGCCUGGGACGACUCUGAUGGGCGACGGUCUUGUUAUACUUUUACCUAAGUGUUGACCUCGGAUCAGGUAGGAAUACCCGCUGAACUUAAGCAUAUCAAUAAGCGGAGGA
rnacentral:rRNA from 1 species